rnacentral:rRNA from 1 species
UAAGGAAUAUUGGUCAAUGGACGCAAGUCUGAACCAGCCAUGCCGCGUGAAGGAUGAAGGUCCUCUGGAUUGUAAACUUCUUUUAUCUGGGACGAAACCCUCGUUUUCUAACGGGAUUGACGGUACCAGAGGAAUAAGCACCGGCUAACUCCGUGCCAGCAGCCGCGGUAAUACGGAGGGUGCAAGCGUUAUCCGGAUUCACUGGGUUUAAAGGGUGCGUAGGUGGGUUUGUAAGUCAGCGGUGAAAUCUCCGGGCUUAACUCGGAAACUGCCAUUGAUACUAUAGAUCUUGAAUUUUCUGGAGGUAAGCGGAAUAUGUCAUGUAGCGGUGAAAUGCUUAGAUAUGACAUAGAACACCAAUUGCGAAGGCAGCUUGCUACAGGAAUAUUGACACUGAGGCACGAAAGCGUGGGGAUCAAACAG